UACAGAGGUCUCAAGCGUUGUUCGGAUUCACUGGGCGUAAAGCGCGCGUAGGCGGACUGUUAAGUCGGGGGUGAAAUCCUGGAGCUCAACUCCAGAACUGCCUUCGAUACUGGGAGUCUCGAGUCCGGGAGAGGUGAGUGGAACUGCGAGUGUAGAGGUGAAAUUCGUAGAUAUUCGCAAGAACACCAGUGGCGAAGGCGGCUCACUGGCCCGGUACUGACGCUGAGGUGCGAAGGCGUGGGGAGCAAACAGG
rnacentral:rRNA from 1 species